UCGGUUGCCUAUUUGUUCAUAUUAUGUUAUUUACUAUGAUUCGUUUUUGUCUUUAUACUAGAACUGUUUGAAUUUAAAGCACAAACAGUAAAACAUUAAGGUUAUACGUGGUACACAGCGGUAAACAUGAGGUUAAAAAUACGCGAAGUUACAUUCAAACCGGGCUGUUAAAAGAAUCAAUUCGAUGUUUAAAUUUUUAAAAACAAAACUUUAAAGAAGCCAAGAUGAGACGUUAUUUGCUUAAAACAAACAAAACAACAGUAACUCGUUUGUUUGAAAUGUUAGCAGCUAGCAAGUGUCUCUCUGCUAUUUUAAAUGAUACAGACGAUCUUUUGUUGUUUUAAAAGCUCAUUCAGUUCUGGUAGAUGCUGCUUAUUUUUCAAGACUGUUUUAAUAGCUUUAUAUUGAUUUGUAACAAAGCCAGCUUCACUUUAAGAGAACCUAGAUGCUAAUUGUAAAGAAGCUUGGAGUCAUAAUAUAUUUAAACGUUAUAUGUUUGCUGUUCUUCAUCUUUUUAAAUAUGAAGUCUAUUCAUGUUUGUGUUUACAGAGGUCAUGUACACUGUGGUCAACUUUGUGGACGAUGAAGAGGUUUCUGGGUAAAGAUGAUAGAAAUAUAAUGAAGUAACAGUGAAAGCUAAAACAUCAGACUGAUCCAGACACUGAAGAAAUUGAUGUCACUGCAAUCUGGCCAAAAUGAUACAACUAUAUUGAAGUAGCCUACUGUAAUGAAGCUGCAGAACAACACAGAGACUCUGAGGACAUCAACACAGAAAAUUAAGGCUCCAAAGAGAUGUCUGUCCAGAUGAGGGUGCAUCAAUGUUACGUUUGCUGACAAGUAUAUGCUUUACAAUGUAAAACCUAACAGUUAACUUAACUCAAACCAUUUAAGGAAAUCGGUUGCCUUAACCCAUUAAGUUUUAAAAAACAUACAUUUGAGUACUGUGAACUUAAGUCUUGUGCAAUUAUGCACUUAUAUUUAGUUAGUGUGAACUUAAAUAUAAGUGCAUAACUGCAUGUGACUCAAUUUGUUUAAGUUCACAGUACUCAAAUCCAUGUGUUUUAAAACUUAAAUGGUUUGAGUUUAGUUAACUUUUAGGUUUUACAGUGAGAAAUUCUUGAAUAAUUCCAAGACAGAGCUCUGUAAUUGAAUCAACACUGCAAAAAAUCAGUUUCUAACUUAGGAUUUUUAUCUUGUUUUUAGUAGAAAAACUAAAAAUUCUUAAAUCAAGAUGUAUUUUCUUGAUGAGCAAAAUUACCUAAGAAAAUGUCUAGUUUUUAGACAAAAAUAUACAAUUUAAGUAAAUUUGUGCCUGAACAAGCAAAAAUAUAUAACAAUGGGGUGAGAAAAUUGUGCUUGAAUUAAGUUUUUAAGAAAAAAGAAAACUUAAGAUUUUUUCUCACACCAUUGGCAGAUAUUUUUGCUUGUUUUAAGCACAAAUUCACUUAAAUUGUGUGUGUGUUUAUUUAUUUUGUCUAAAACUAGACUUAUUUUCUUAGGUCAUUUUGUUCAUCAAGAAAAAGCAUUUAAUUUAAAUAAUAUUUCUACUGAAAACGAGACACAAAUACUAUGUAAGAAAGUCAUUUUUUUGCAGUGUAGGACUGAUUUCUUAAAGCAAGAUCAAUAUAGUUGUUGUUCAUUUUAUUUAGAUAUUUACUACAUUACAGUGGCAGCUGGUGACUUCUUUUUUUGUGAACACUCGAUGCAAAGUCUGUCACAACAUGUAUAUAGCCAGUCAUUUGUGUGGUUCCCAAUUUCAAAAUAUGUGUUCUGCGUGUAUGUGCAUCACGUGUUUUGACUAAACACGUGAUGCACAUGGUUUACAUGACACAACAAACACAUUUUAAAAACACAAGCAACACACAUGACACUCCGAACACUUAUUUUGAAUUUGCACCCCUCGGAUGAGCAGUCACGAGCCGCCACUGCUACUUUACAUUGUACUGCUUUGA